CCGGAGUCGUUGCCCUUAGCUCCCAUGUCCCCUCUCUCACCCGUUUUACCCCUCUUAAAACAGCGAGCGGCGGAAUGGGCUCCGCCGCAGCCGGAGCACUCGUGCUUAAACCGGCAGGAAGACCCCCAUUUGCAGUGACUGUCGUUAAACCUCCAACAACAGCCAGACUUUGGACCUGAGGCCGAUGAGGAGGAAGGCGCGCCCCCACCGGCCCCCCCAAGAAAGGAUGAAAACGCACCCUGUUGAGGGGCAGGGCGAGUCAUGAUGGAAAGCCAGAGGCCGAUAUCCAUCUGAUCCCAUGACAGCGAGGGACGCACUGCCAGUCGCUGCCGAAACUGCUCAUCGUAUCUCCACCAACCCAGCCCCCCAUAGGUGCGACAAGCAUUCCAGAUCAUGUCCUGGUAACAGAACAGCGCGGAGCACCUGUGGGGAAACUUCUCCCCAACCACGCUGGCUAAAACAGAGAACGCCCGAAUCCAGUUCCCAACGGUCUUGGGAAUUUUGCGGAAACGGUACUUCUCCCUAUCCUUCUCCGACUCCUUACUGUCCUUGUCCGCCACGGGAGGAGCUUCCUCCAGCGGCAGGAGAGAAAAUAUCUCCACAAAUUCCCCUUUCCAAAUUUUUUCCUUCGUUUCCUG